UGGUAUGUGUCUCUCACAGCCUUCCCCUUCCUCCUGCCUCCCCUGCAUUCAUCUCCCACCCAGAUGGCAGCUUUCCCUGGGAUCACUCCCAAGACUGGUCUUCUGGUCCCUCCUCUGUGCUCCCUGGGACCCCGUACUGGCCCCUGUUGGGGAGUUUCUCAAACAACACUGACAUCCCCUGCUACUUGACCGUCUCUUCCGCUAGACCGUGUGCACCGAGGUGGCUCCCAGAGCUCGGACCCCCUGGCGGGACGGUGCCAUCAAGCCGACCUGAGGCCUGACUCAAGAUUCAACACAAAGGAAGAAGGAAAGGGACACAAAAGCCGCCUUAGCCACUGCCUGACAGAGAAGCUCAGAGCACCAACCCUUACGUUGUGAUUUCCAGCUGCUGGGCGCGUGACCCACACUCUCAUUUGAGCCUCGCAGCCUCCCCGCAAGGCAGACCAACAACUAAAUAUAGCCUUGGGAAGAAAGUUGUGGCAGCCCAAGAGACAAGCCAGCUCCCGGACACCUGCACCCACGGUGGGCACCCGACUCGGGACAGGACUGAGAAAGACCUGGUGGGGGUGGAGUUGCAAGCUAGGGAACACGUUCUAACCAGCCGGGAACAAGGAGUAGAAGUAGGCCAUACCAUCUAAUUAGAAAUUAAGUGCAAUUUUUUUCUUUCUCCAAGAAGGCCUCCCCCUCCGAGUUCCAGACACAUGACCAACGAGCUCACUUCUUCCAGGAAUAACCUUCUGUGAGGCCCUGGAGAGGCCUUUCCUGUCUGUGUACCCCACCGCCACGACCAAGCAAGGCCCUCCAGGCUCCCCAACCUACUGAGAGGGACCCCUAGCCCUGAUACAAUGCCUAGGGGAACAUCAAGGCCAGGAACUCCCAAGGGUCCUGGUGGCUCUGGCUAAUUGCCUCCUCCCUGCCCAGCACCCUGACCCAUGAGGUUCCUGAGAGAUCGAUGUAUCCUUCCCAGAGCAGCGCUCAUCACAGAAAUAUGAUUCAAGUCCCAGGUGUGACUUAAAAUUUCCUAGCAGCCACACUAAAAAAGGUAAGAAGAAAAAAGCUAAGAAGAAAAGGUAAGAAGUAUAUCAUUAGCUUUAAUGAUAUACUUUCAUAUAAAUAUAUCCAAGAAAAUGUCAUGUAAUCUACAUGAAAAUUAUCAAGAUAUUUUACAUUCUCUUUUCCAUAAGAAGGCUGCAAUGUCCCAUGUGAUUUCUACACUCAGAGCACAUCUUAAUUCAGAAUAACUACAUUUCAAGUAUUCAACAGCUACUGGCUAUUGAACUGGGCAGUGAAUUCUAGAAAAAUCUUUAAUUGCAGAGCAUAUCCAAAGAGGUGGGGAAUCUGGCCCAGUUACUAGCUCCCUGUGGGCCUAACAGGCACCCCUUGACCCCCUGACCUAUUUCUACCUAGUAGAACAAAGUUCCCUCUGGACUUUUUGGUUCAAAAUGCUCCAUACACAUAGUACCUGGAAGAGGUAGGAAGACAGGAAGUCUGGGGCCCUGGAAGUGCGAAGCCAGGGGCAGCCCUGUCCAGCUGAGUCUGGGCUGAUUUAGGGUGGGGGGGCUACCCUCUUCAGGGCUCUAUUUUGACCUGGGGAGUCUCUCUCUCUCUUUUCUCCUGAAUACUGAUGGAGUGGGGCACAGACCUACCAUUUAACAGAAUGUGGGAUCUUCUGGUGGUCACUGCCUCCACCCAAUACUACCCACACUGUCUUAAAAGGCUGAUUUAGGGGCGCCUGGGUGGCUCAGUUGCUAAAGCAUCCGACUCUUGAUUUCAG